UGACACACAAAAUAUAGGAACACUCAACAAGGAUGAAAUAUGGAGGAUAAGUAUUAAUAUGCUUCUCACAAAAGGGAUUAUAAAAUACACUCGAACAAAGAGUGCUUCAGCACUUCAAAGCUUUCUUCUCUCUUUCUCACUUUUAGCUACUGCUCUUUCUCUAUCUCACUCACAAUUCUAACUUCUUUUCUUAAUUGAUAAUUUUACAAAACACAACUAUGCUAUUUAUAGGAAAAUAUUUACUAGCUAUCAUAUAUGUAUACACUACGUCACCUAUUAUUACUAACAAAUGUUAUCCACUAAAUCCACCUCCUAGUGAUAAGUAUGCCGUGAGGAAACAAAAUUCAUCCACGUAUAAUAACUAGGUGAUGCACCUACUUAUCACUUUUCUUAGUCUUGAAGUAAUUGAGUUUAAUAACUCAACAUUUGAAAGCUAUUGGGCCAGAAGCUAGCAGCUACUUGCAGGAUAAUAAGUUGAGGGACUAUUAUGGGAGAAUGAACAUUUUUGGUACCUUUGGAAAUUUAUUGUCCAUUCAUGGGAAGAAGGUCACCAGAAGCUUCACUAAGAGGUUAAAAGACGGGGAUGAACAGAGAUCUCCGAUAUACAGAGAUUCUCAGCGUAGGAUGCAGCUUUCUUCUGAGAAGGUGAAACAAAACUAAGACUCCUGGUCCUGGUGCUCAGUCUGCGCUCAGAGCUCUUGCCCGUUCUGGCAUGAAGAUUGGCCGUAUAGAGGAUGUGACUCCAAUUCCAACUGACAGCACUCGCAGAAAGGGUGGUAGAAGGGGAAGAAGGCUGUAAUCUUGUCAUUUUGGUCAUUCUAUCUGUGGUUCAUUUCAUUUUUAUGGAGUUUCUUAUUUCUACCCAGUGUUUGAAAAUUUUAUAGUUCUACCAAAAACCAUUGAUGUUUUUCACUCUGCGACAUCGACCAAUUAUGAAAUACUACUACUAGUAUUUUUGCUCGAACUAGCUUAACAUUGCCCAUCAUUGCCUUAUUGGCAUUAAUUUGGUUUUUAGUUAUAAAUUAGAAUUGUU